rnacentral:rRNA from 1 species
CCUACGGGAGGCAGCAGUUAGGGAAUAUUGGACAAUGGGCGCAAGCCUGAUCCAGCCAUGCCGCGUGAGUGAUGAAGGCCUUCGGGUUGUAAAACUCUUUAGCCGACGAUUAUAAUGACUGUAGUCGGAGAAUAAGCCCCGGCUAACUUCGUGCCAGCAGCCGCGGUAAUACGAGGGGGGCGAGCGUUAUUCGGAAUCACUGGGCGUAAAGCGUGCGUAGGCCGCUUUGUAAGUUGGAAGUGAAAGCCCAGGGCUUAACCCUGGAAUUGCUUUCAAAACUACAAGGCUAGAAUUCGGGAGAGGAUAGCGGAAUUGUCAGUGUAGCAGUGAAAUGCGUAGAUAUUGACAGGAACACCAGUGGCGUAAGCGGCUAUCUGGACCGAUAUUGACGCUGAGGCACGAAAGCGUGGGGAUCAAACAGGAUUAGAUACCCUGGUAGUCCAGCCCUAAACGAUGUCUACUAGUUGUCGGGUUUUAAAUUAACUUGGUAACGCAGCUAACGCGUGAAGUUAGACCGCCUGGGGAUACGGGUCGCAAGAUUAAAACUCAAAAGGAAUUGACGG